UGUUGUAUGCCGUGCUGGUUCCUGUUAGCGUGUUUGUAGGUCAGUAAAUCUGCCCUUUAGGGGCUUUUUGCCACCAAGCCUUGACAACAGCCUGUUUUCUUGUUAAAGAAACAUUUUUGAUAUUCAAAUGAGAAUAGACCUUGUGGCAGUCUCAAGCACCAAGAUACAGCAGGAGGCUGUGGGAACCUGGCCUGGAUACAUGAGAACAUGGACCUUAUCAAGUAACAGGAGAUUGUAGGCUCAAACCGGUCUGCCUCUGCCAGCACUGGAUCUUCCACCAGGACAACGAUCCCAAGCACAAUUUCACAUCCACAUGAAAAUGGUUCGCUGACCUUAGAAUCAAGCUUUUGCUUUUGUGGUCACCUGGUUCAUAAGCAAGGACCAGGGACUAUGAAGGAUCUUGACAGUUUCUGUAUGGAGGAAGGGUCUCAAAUCCCUUUCUGUAUGCUGUUUCAGCUCCUCAAGCAUCAUUGGAGAUGAUUCAGAUAUUUUCUUGACAAAGGGUCACAAAGUCCUAAAUUCAAGGUUGCCAAUAAUUAUGGGAUGUUUUAUUUAUUUUUACAAUUUUCUCUAUGAAAUGUUAGAUUCACAUAACUUGUGUAUGAUCAAGCAGAUAAACAACACAGGCUUCUUAGUUUUCUAAUGAUCAAUUAUCCUAUAAAAAUUAUAAACUUGAAUUAGCGAACACAACUUGCCAUUGGAACA